rnacentral:rRNA from 1 species
AGUGAACGCUGGCGGUAGGCCUAACACAUGCAAGUCGAACGGCAGCACAUUAAGAUCUUGCUCUUACGGUUGGCGACUGACGGACGGGUGACGAAUACAUCGGCAUCUACUUUUUCGUGGGGGAUAACGUAGGGCGACUUACGCUACUACCUCAUACCACCUACGGCUGAAAUCAGGGGUUCUUCGUACCUUUCCCGCUUUCAUGAGCCGAUGUCGGUUUUGUUAGUUGGCUGGUUAAAGGCCCACCAAGGCGAGGAUCGGUACCUGGUCUGCCUGGGUGGCGAGCAAAACUGGAACGGAGAAACGGUCCAGACUCCUACGGGAGGCAGCAGUGGGGAAUAUUGGAAAAUGGGCGAAAGCCUGAUCAAGAAAGACCGAGGGGGUGAAGAAGGCCUUGGGGUUGUAAAGCCCUUUUGUUGGGAAAGAAAAGGAGCAGGUUAAAAAGCAGAUGAAGUGACGGUAACCAAAGAGAAAGCACCGGCUAACUACGUG